GCCUGCAACAUAGCAUUAAUGCAUAGAAUCCCAUUAGAACUCCGUAGUUAAGCGCUCUCAGGCUAGAGUAGAACUAGGAUGGGUGACCACCCGGGAAGUCCUAUUGUUUUACAUGCC
rnacentral:rRNA from 1 species